AAAAUUGAAGAAAUCAAAUUAACAGCAAAAAGAAAAGAAAUAAAUGAAGGAAUGAUACACACAUUGGAAGCUACGACUACCGAAAACUAAUAUCCUGUUACAUGAAAAUCUAACACCAAAAUGGAUCAAAAAGGCAGAGAUUCAAGGCACCAGUCAGAGUUAGGGUACAGAAAACUCGCCAAAUGAUGUAAUUUUAUCUCAAGUCGGUUUUUAUACAUUAGAAGACAUCAAGAAAAGAGCUAUUAUCUGUUUCUUAAGUGUAUUGAUGGAAUCAUCCUCAUCGGAGAGCUACGACGAAAUCAACACCUUUCCUUUGAAUUUGUUACGGAGGGAAGAUGCUGCCAUGGGAUUGAGUGUAUCUGGCUGGGCAGUUA
rnacentral:sRNA from 1 species